rnacentral:rRNA from 1 species
AGAGUUUGAUCAUGGCUCAGGAUUAACGCUGGCGGUAUGCCUAACACAUGCAAGUCGAACGGAAUAACUCGAAAAGAGAAUCUCACACUAGUGAGAGGUUCUCCAACCGAGUAUUUAGUGGCGGACGGGUGAGUAACACGUUGGAACCUGCCCCGAAGUGGGGAAUAACUGCUCGAAAGAGUAGCUAAUACCCCAUAGUAUCCGGUUUAUCCGGAUUAAAGAUUUAUCGCUUCGGGAGGGGCCUGCGUCUGAUUAGCUUGUUGGUGGGGUAAAAGCUCACCAAGGCGACGAUCAGUAGCUGGUUCGAGAGGAUGACCAGCCACACUGGGACUGAGAUACGGCCCAGACUCCUACGGGAGGCAGCAGUGAGGAAUCUUCCACAAUGGACGAAAGUCUGAUGGAGCAAUACCGCGUGCAGGACGACGCUUUUCGGAGUGUAAACUGCUUUUGUCGUCGAAGAUUAUGACUGUAGACGAAGAAUAAGGACCGGCUAACUACGUG